rnacentral:rRNA from 1 species
AACGAACGCUGGCGGCAUGCCUAACACAUGCAAGUCGAACGAGAUCUUCGGGUCUAGUGGCGCACGGGUGCGUAACGCGUGGGAAUCUGCCCUUUGGUUCGGAAUAACAGUUGGAAACGACUGCUAAUACCGGAUGAUGACGAAAGUCCAAAGAUUUAUCGCCAGAGGAUGAGCCCGUGUAGGAUUAGCUAGUUGGUGUGGUAAAGGCGCACCAAGGCGACGAUCCUUAGCUGGUCUGAGAGGAUGAUCAGCCACACUGGGACUGAGACACGGCCCAGACUCCUGCGGGAGGCAGCAGUGGGGAAUAUUGGACAAUGGGCGAAAGCCUGAUCCAGCAAUGCCGCGUGAGUGAUGAAGGCCUUAGGGUUGUAAAGCUCUUUUACCCGGGAUGAUAAUGACAGUACCGGGAGAAUAAGCUCCGGCUAACUCCGUGCCAGCAGCCACAGUAA